UAGGGAAUCUUCGGCAAUGGGGGCAACCCUGACCGAGCAACGCCGCGUGAGUGAAGAAGGUUUUCGGAUCGUAAAGCUCUGUUGUAAGAGAAGAACGUGUGUGAGAGUGGAAAGUUCACACAGGGACGGUAACUUACCAGAAAGGGACGGCUAACUACGUGCCAGCAGCCGCGGUAAUACGUAGGUCCCGAGCGUUGUCCGGAUUUAUUGGGCGUAAAGCGAGCGCAGGCGGUUUAAUAAGUCUGAAGUUAAAGGCAGUGGCUUAACCAUUGUUCGCUUUGGAAACUGUUAAACUUGAGUGCAGAAGGGGAGAGUGGAAUUCCAUGUGUAGCGGUGAAAUGCGUAGAUAUAUGGAGGAACACCGGUGGCGAAAGCGGCUCUCUGGUCUGUAACUGACGCUGAGGCUCGAAAGCGUGGGGAGCAAACAGG
rnacentral:rRNA from 1 species